rnacentral:rRNA from 1 species
AUUGAACGCUGGCGGCAUGCUUUACACAUGCAAGUCGAACGGCAGCGCGGGCUUCGGCCUGGCGGCGAGUGGCGAACGGGUGAGUAAUGCAUCGGAACGUGCCCAGUAGUGGGGGAUAGCCCGGCGAAAGCCGGAUUAAUACCGCAUACGACCUGAGGGUGGAAGCGGGGGACCGAAAGGCCUCGCGCUAUUGGAGCGGCCGAUGUCGGAUUAGCUAGUUGGUGGGGUAAAGGCUUACCAAGGCGACGAUCCGUAGCUGGUCUGAGAGGACGACCAGCCACACUGGGACUGAGACACGGCCCAGACUCCUACGGGAGGCAGCAGUGGGGAAUUUUGGACAAUGGGGGCAACCCUGAUCCAGCCAUGCCGCGUGCGGGAAGAAGGCCUUCGGGUUGUAAACCGCUUUUGUUCGGGAAGAAAUCCUCUGGGCUAAUACCCCGGGGGGAUGGCGGUACCGGAAGAAUAAGCACCGGCUAACUACGUG